AUUCGCUUUUUGGAACGGAGGAGCUCAUUUUGACCUCCAAAACGCGGCAAACUCACAAAGUUUUAGAGUCACAGAGACAAAAAUAGAGUGCGGUGUCGCCCGCCAGCUUCCCGGCCCGGCUCGCCCUCUCGAUUAACCCACGUCUAUUGGCACUGUUAGCUGCGUGUGAAACAUUCAUCAGAUGGGUUAAUAAUUUAUCAGGAAGCAGCUUGAGACCCAUGAGCCCAACCCGUAGGCUGCCUCAAUGAAAUGAAGAUUCCUUUGGAAACCAUUCACGCCUGAGUGGAGGAGAGAUGCACUUGGCUUAUGCGGUUCUUAAUUCGUCUAUUUGCCCCCCAGUGCAUUUAAACAUUACGUCCUCCAAAAUAGCAAAGCAACACUGAAAACAUUACAGAACAUCACAUGCACGUGCACCUUAUAAAAACACCAUGAUUUUAGAAGACACAAACGAAUGCAGGAGCCCAAACAUGCGGUAGUGCACGUCCUUUUGAAGAUAAUGAAAACUGCAUAAUGAAUG